rnacentral:rRNA from 1 species
GACGAACGCUGGCGGCGUGCUUAACGCAUGCAAGUCGAACGGAAAGGCCCUGCUUUCGUGGGGUGCUCGAGUGGCGAACGGGUGAGUAACACGUGAGUAACCUGCCCUUGACUUUGGGAUAACUUCAGGAAACUGGGGCUAAUACCGGAUAGGAGCUCCUGCUGCAUGGUGGGGGUUGGAAAGUUUCGGCGGUUGGGGAUGGACUCGCGGCUUAUCAGCUUGUUGGUGGGGUAGUGGCUUACCAAGGCUUUGACGGGUAGCCGGCCUGAGAGGGUGACCGGCCACAUUGGGACUGAGAUACGGCCCAGACUCCUACGGGAGGCAGCAGUGGGGAAUAUUGCACAAUGGGCGGAAGCCUGAUGCAGCAACGCCGCGUGCGGGAUGACGGCCUUCGGGUUGUAAACCGCUUUCGCCUGUGACGAAGCGUGAGUGACGGUAAUGGGUAAAGAAGCACCGGCUAACUACGUG